CGUACUUUUAGGCCUGCCCUUCCAGACCCUUUGUACUUUUACCUCUCUGCAUGCAUGCCACAUGUAGGGCUCCGAGGGGGCCACGUGGCAGCACGAUAGCCGUUGAUUUUUUAGGCUACAACAAUGAUGAUGCGGAAGAAGAUCUAGACCCAUCUACUUUUAAGUAGUUAUAACACCGUGAAUCAUACAUUAGAUUUUGUAGUGUCUUAUGAACUUCUAAAUUUCGAUAUAUUGUAUUAUGUUUGGUGGAUUUAGUAACGAUUGAUUUUAUAAUUCUUAUUGUUUACACUUUAUAUUAUAUAAUAUGUUAAUAAGUUUAAGUUGAUUCCUAUUUUAUCCUUAAAUUUGAUAUGAAAAAACUUUGAAGUUUAUACUACAUUAUUCGUGCUACUAAUCUGUGUUAUUUUAGAUGUCUUCUUCUAGCGGACAAGGUAGAGCUUCAGGAAGCCAGUCUACUCCACAUCUGGCAAAUGAUACUGAGGGCGAGAAUCCUUCAUCGAAUGCUUAUAUUGUCACCACAUAGGAACAGGGUGAAGGCGCGCGUUCUGCAAGCAAUCAGCUGGACCCUACUACGCUAUGGUUUGACAAUAACAAAGUCACUCGAUCUAUUACGGAAUGUUUCAAAGAGUACUGCAUUGAGCCAUGUAGAAAUUGGACUGAAACAAGUCAAUCAACAAAAGAUCAUUGGUUUAAUCUUUUCAAGCGUAAACACUCUUGGCAUUCGGAGUUGGAUUCGCAAGUAAGAGAAGGUUUUCAACGCAAAGUAGCUAAAAGACUCAAAGACUUGCAUCAUUGGGUGACAUCGGAAAAAAAAAAAAAGGUGUAUGACCAAUAUGGAUGCCAGAGCAAGUACACCAACAACUUAUGCAAAAAACAAAAGAUGAUGAGUUUAAGAAAAACUCAUAACAAUCGAAAAAGAACAAGAGAGGAGGAUCGCUAGAAGGUGUUGUGGAACCUGGACAUUGUUAAGGUUCAUUUUCUACGGCCGGGUAUGCAAGAAGGAUGGCUGGAAAAAAUGGAGUAUUGCCAAAAGCUGUUGAUAUCUACUUGGAGACGCAUUCAAAAGAACGACAACCAGGCCAAGGCAAGCAACUCAUUGGCUCCAAAUCAAAACAAAUCAUGGAUGAUUAUAAUAAGAAAUUGGAUGAUUAUAGAGAGAAGGGAGUCAACAAAGAUCCCAAUGAAAUGUACUUUGAGACAGUGGGUGGGAGGAAAAAAGGUUUAAUUCCUGGCUUAGGUACAAGCGGUGAUCUUCUUUACAAAAAAAUCAUCAACCCGCACUAGUAGCUCUUCUAGUGUCUACACGCCUUCUAUGCUUUCUCAGCUUUCAACUACCGUGGAGCAAUAUCAGCAACAAUUAGCAGAUCAGGUGGCUGAAUUUCAGAGGCAAAAAAAUGAGUAGGAGGCAUAUCGUCUCCAAACGAAAAAAGGAAAGGGAAGAGGCAAAAAAAUACAUGGAGGAGAAAAAGACUACAAUGGAAGAGUAUUCUCAAAUGAUGAGUCAGUGUGGAGGUACUUUCCCUUUUACCCAACCACGUGACCCACGUGAUCCUUCUAGUGGUGGAUCAGAAUUUCCUUGUAAUACUUAGACUUAUAGUCUUUUAUUAGUAUAUUAUAUAUUUUGAGAAAAAUGAUGUUUAAUUUGGUUGUUGGAAUUACUAUUAGAUCUAUAUUUUGGAGAAUAGGAUGUUUAAUAUAUGCUGUAACAAACCUAUUAUUUUGAUAUAAAGUGGAGGAUUAGUUUA